UACGUAGGGUGCAAGCGUUAAUCGGAAUUACUGGGCGUAAAGUGUGCGCAGGCGGCAGAGCAAGUCGAGUGUGAAAGCCCCGGGCUUAACUUGGGAAUUGCGCUCGAAACUACUUUGCUGGAGUGUGGCAGAGGAAGGUGGAAUUCCACGUGUAGCGGUGAAAUGCGUAGAUAUCAGGAAGAACACCCGUGGCGAAGGCGGCUCUCUGGGACGGUACUGACGCUGAGACGCGAAAGCGUGGGGAGCGAACAGG
rnacentral:rRNA from 1 species